CAGGUAAAUCUUUCAGCUUGUC
rnacentral:miRNA from 1 species